GACGAACGCUGGCGGCGUGCUUAACACAUGCGAGUCGAACGAAGAGCGAUGGAAGCUUGCUUCUAUCAAUCUUAGUGGCGAACGGGUGAGUAACGCGUAAUCAACCUGCCCUUCAGAGGGGGACAACAGUUGGAAACGACUGCUAAUACCGCAUACGAUCUAAUCUCGGCAUCGAGGAUGGAUGAAAGGUGGCCUCUACAUGUAAGCUAUCACUGAAGGAGGGGAUUGCGUCUGAUUAGCUAGUUGGAGGGGUAACGGCCCACCAAGGCGAUGAUCAGUAGCCGGUCUGAGAGGAUGAACGGCCACAUUGGGACUGAGACACGGCCCAGACUCCUACGGGAGGCAGCAGUGGGGAAUCUUCCGCAAUGGACGAAAGUCUGACGGAGCAACGCCGCGUGAGUGAUGACGGCCUUCGGGUUGUAAAGCUCUGUUAAUCGGGACGAAAGGCCUUCUUGCGAAUAGUGAGAAGGAUUGACGGUACCGGAAUAGAAAGCCACGGCUAACUACGUG
rnacentral:rRNA from 1 species